rnacentral:tRNA from 1 species
AUUCUUUUAGUAUAACUAGUACAGCUGACUUCCAAUCAGCUAGCUUCGACAAUACUCGAAAAAGGAUA